rnacentral:lncRNA from 1 species
CGAUUGGGGUCCUAUUAGGUGGUUAAAAUCACAGGGAUUUCAAUUGCUUGUUUAAACCAAGCAUUGUUCCAUUGGUGGUUGCUCAAAUCAAAUGGAUUAAAAUUAGGUGUUUGGAGGUGAGAUAGUUUUGGUUAUUGCAAUUAAGGUCAUUCAAUGUGAAUUUCUUGUGAGAAUGGUCACUUAAUGCACAUAUUUGGAGAGAGCGUGAGAAGAGAUUGCC